GUCCCCGUAGCGCAGUGGUCAGCGUUUGUAUGCUUUAUCUUCUCUUUAUCUUCUAAGCGUUUAUAUAUUUACCCAGCGAAUUUGAAUUUAAGGCAUCGAAAGACGUCGGUUCGAAUCCGACCGGGGACA